rnacentral:misc_RNA from 1 species
UUAUUUCUUGUAUUUUAUUCAGACACAAAGACUGAGUAAAGCAUAAAAGCAGCGCCAAGGCGCCGAAGCACAUCUUGCUUCCACAGGUUUGCAAGGUUGAAGGCCAAGAGGCCAUUCAGUAAUGAUCCCUCCGCAGGUUCACCUACGGAGA